GGCGGGAGAUCGGAAAGUGCCCCGACGGUACUUAGGUUCUCAUAGCGAAGCUGUUCGAAUCACCGAACAGACUCGUGCUGUUUGUCAAAAAUC